GAUAAAUUCUAGGACAGCCUUACCGAGGGAGGAUGGGGGCCCGUGAGCAGGGACUGAAGGGCCCCCAGAAUGUCAACAGGGAGGAAGCAUUCCACGGAAGGGGGGUUGGGGAGGAACCAGAGCAAACAGCUACGAGGUAGCAGAGGCGGGGAGCAAGCUGGGGAAAUGUCGAGGAGGCCAGUUUCUCUGGAGCACCAAGGGCGUGAAGAGAGAAGAUCCAGACAGACAGCAAGGGCUUCACAGUCUGAUGUCUCGUUCUCCUUCGAGUGGGCACCUGUGGGGCUUUCUAAACAGCGGUGUUUGCAGGAGGACACAGGUUUUCUUUGCUGGCGAAUGUGGAGCGCAGUGCCUGGGGUUUGGCUGACAAAUGUGGGCGGAGCUGCUGAACGCCACGAUCGCGGCCAACAGUUUGUACCCUCAGUAAUGAACCACCACCAGGAUCAUGAAGGUAAUAGACACAAACACUCAAUGAGCGGACAGUGGGUGCGAGGCAGGACGGGAAGCACCGGGCACGCACGACUCCCUGAACACUCACGAUACGACGAGGAGACAGACGAGGCAGCUGUCUCUCAGGGGCGUUAAGCAGCAGGUCUGCAGUCAAGAGUGACCACGAGUCGCGGUGAGCGGUGCUGAGAAGGGCAAACGGACUUUGGUAGCAAUGACUGAGAUGGAGUAGAGACUGGAUGCAAAACGGGGGACAGGUGGCUUUUCUCAGUGUCAAACUAGAUCAGAGGUCAGCAAAGUUUUCCUGUGAAGGGCCAGGCAGUCAAAAUUUGAGGCUUUAUGGACAAAAACAGCAUUUGGCCAAGACCCAUGAUCCACUGACGCCCGAACCAGAUACAGAUGAUGAUCCCUGGGAAGUUUAAAACCUCAGGGGAG